UACGUAGGGCGCAAGCGUUGUCCGGAAUUAUUGGGCGUAAAGAGCUCGUAGGCGGUUUGUCGCGUCUGCGUGUGAAAACCUAAGGCUCAACCUUGGGCUUGCAGUGGGGUACGGCAGACUAGAGUGCGGUAGGGGUGACUGGAAUUCCUGGUGUAGCGGUGGAAUGCGCAGAUAUCAGGAGGAACACCGAUGGCGAAGGCAGGUCACUGGGCCG
rnacentral:rRNA from 1 species